rnacentral:misc_RNA from 1 species
GGAAGUAAAAGCGUAACAAGGUCUCCGUUGGUGAACCAGCGGAGGGAUCAUUACAGAGUUGCAAAACUCCCAAACCAUUGUGAACGUUACCUAUCCCGUUGCUUCGGCGGGCGGCCCGGGCCCCGCGCCCGGCGCCCCCCGGCCCCCCGUGGGCGCCCGCCGGAGGUAAACCAAACCCUUGAAUUGCAUGGCCUCUCUGAGUCUUCUGUACUGAAUAAGUCAAAACUUUCAACAACGGAUCUCUUGGUUCUG